UACGAAGGGGGCGAGCGUUGUUCGGAUUUACUGGGCGUAAAGGGCGCGUAGGCGGCCGAUCAAGUCAGAUGUGAAAGUCCUGGGCUUAACCUGGGGACUGCAGUCGAUACGAGCAAACUAGAGUGUUGCAGGGGAGACUGGAAUUCCUGGUGUAGCGGUGAAAUGCGCAGAUAUCAGGAGGAACACCGGUGGCGAAGGCGGGUCUCUGGGCAACAACUGACGCUGAGGAGCGAAAGCGUGGGGAGCGAACAGG
rnacentral:rRNA from 1 species